rnacentral:rRNA from 1 species
UACGUAGGGGGCAAGCGUUGUCCGGAAUCAUUGGGCGUAAAGCGCGUGUAGGCGGCUCGGUAAGUCCGCUGUGAAAGUCGGGGGCUCAACCCUCGGAUGCCGGUGGAUACUGUCGGACUAGAGUACGGAAGAGGCGAGUGGAAUUCCUGGUGUAGCGGUGAAAUGCGCAGAUAUCAGGAGGAACACCAAUUGCGAAGGCAGCUCGCUGGGACGUUACUGACGCUGAGACGCGAAAGCGUGGGGAGCAAACAGG